GAUGAAUGCUGGCGGCGUGCCUAACACAUGCAAGUCGAGCGGCAGCGAGUUCUGCACUGGCUUUUUCUCUCCUUCUGAGACAGGAGUAGGGAUUUUAUUUAUAAAAUCCCGUCUUCCAAUCAAAAGGAUGAAGUACGAGAGUACGGAAGAGGAAAAGGUUGUGCAGAAUGUCGGCGAGCGGCGGACGGCUGAGUAACGCGUGGGAACGUGCCCCAAAGUGAGGAAUAACUGCCCGAAAGGGUAGCUAAUACCGCAUAUGAUCUUCGGAUUAAAGGAUUUAUCCGCUUUGGGAGCGGCCCGCGUCGGAUUAGGUAGUUGGUAGGGUAAUGGCCUACCAAGCCGACGAUCCGUAGCUGGUCUGAGAGGAUGAUCAGCCAGACUGGAACUGAGACACGGUCCAGACUCCUACGGGAGGCAGCAGUGAGGAAUCUUCCACAAUGGGCGAAAGCCUGAUGGAGCAACGCCGCGUGCAGGAUGAAGGCCUUGGGUGUAACG
rnacentral:rRNA from 1 species